AGAGUUUGAUCAUGGCUCAGGACGAACGACUGGCGGCGUGCCUAAUACAUGCAAGUCGAGCGGACCAAUUAGAAAGCUUGACUUAUUUAAUUGGUUAGCGGCGGACGGGUGAGUAACACGUGGGUAACACUGCCCUAUAGACCGGGAUAACUCGCGGAAACGACGUGCUAAUACCGGAUAAACACACCGAAGCGCAUGCUUCGGUGUUGAAAGAUGGUUCUGCUAUCACUAUAGGAUGGGCCCGCGGCGCAUUAGCUAGUUGGUGGGGUAACGGCCUACCAAGGCGACGAUGCGUAGCCGAACCUGAGAGGGUGAUCGGCCACACUGGGACUGAGACCCGGCCCAGACUCCUACGGGAGGCAGCCGUAGGGAAUCUUCCACCUGGGCGAAAGCCUGAUGGAGCCCCGCCGCGUGAGCGAA
rnacentral:rRNA from 1 species